rnacentral:hammerhead_ribozyme from 1 species
AUCCAGUUGACGAAUCCCAAAUAGGACGAAAUGCAUAUCUUCGUGGAU